ACUCCUACGGGAGGCAGCAGUAGGGAAUCUUCCACAAUGGGCGCAAGCCUGAUGGAGCAACACCGCGUGAGUGAAGAAGGGUUUCGGCUCAUAAAGCUCUGUUGUUAAAGAAGAACGCGUAUGAGAGUAACUGUUCAUACGUUGACGGUAUUUAACCAGAAAGUCACGGCUAACUACGUGCCAGCAGCCGCGGUAAUACGUAGGUGGCAAGCGUUAUCCGGAUUUAUUGGGCGUAAAGAGAGUGCAGGCGGUUUUCUAAGUCUGAUGUGAAAGCCUUCGGCUUAACCGGAGAAGUGCAUCGGAAACUGGAUAACUUGAGUGCAGAAGAGGUAGUGGAACUCAUGUGUAGCGGUGGAAUGCGUAGAUAUAUGGAAGAACACCAGUGGCGAAGGCGGCUACCUGGUCUGCAACUGACGCUGAGACUCGAAAGCAU
rnacentral:rRNA from 1 species